ACUCCUACGGGAGGCAGCAGUAGGGAAUCUUCCACAAUGGACGCAAGUCUGAUGGAGCAACGCCGCGUGAGUGAAGAAGGGUUUCGGCUCGUAAACUCUGUUGUUAGAGAAGAACAACUAUCUGAGAGUAACUGUUCAGGUAUUGACGGUAUUUAACCAGAAAGCCACGGCUAACUACGUGCCAGCAGCCGCGG
rnacentral:rRNA from 1 species